GCCAUUGAAGAUCUCAAGAGCUCCAGUCUAGGAAGAAUGGAAAAGAUCCAGAAAGUAUCAUUCUUAGUCCUUGCCCUUCACCUAGCAUGGGUGAGUGGUCAGCAGAAGGGGAGACCUGACCAGCAGCAGGUGAAACAAAGCCCCCAAUCCCUAUCAGUCUUAGAAGGAGAGACUUCAGUUCUAAACUGCACUUAUGAGAACAGUGCAUUUGACUACUUCCCAUGGUACCGGCAGUUCCCUGGUGAAGGUCCUGCAUUACUGAUAGACAUACGUUCAGUGUCGAACAAAAAGGAAGAUGGACGAUUCACAGUCUUCUUCAGGAAAAGUGAUAAACAGCUCUCCUUGCACAUCACAGAUUCUCAACCUGGAGACUCAGCCACCUACUUCUGUGCAGCAAGUACACAGUGCUCUCUAGGCACCUGCAGCCCACACCCAAACCUGCAGCUGUGCUCCAGCAAAACCCUGUUUUGGGGCUGAGCCUGGCAGAAGUGCAAAGGAACUUUCAUCUGCAGUGGCUGGUGAUGCAGUGA